AUUGGUUGUUGAAAAAAAUAGUAACAGUAUGAUAAAGUUCAAGUACCAUCCAAAUACCAUGUCAAAAACUAUUACAAAUUGUGGUAGAAAUAUCGUACAAGCGUGGUAGUUCCUACCAUGCGGUGACAAUGCUGCCAACUUGUUACCACCACACAACCACCUGUGCGAACCGUUGCAGAGCGAGCGCGCGCGAGCCGCGGCGCCCGCGGCGGGCUACGGGGCUGCGUCGGUUGUUGUGUGUUGCAGUGGGAGAGGGAAGAGUCGUCAUUUGCGGACUGCCCAACUACUAUCCAGUGGUCGUCGAUGAUCUGGUUACUAUCGGAGAGAAAACUCAACAUGCCCCGACAUGGCGACGUCGACAGGGAUCAGCGCGCCGCCCUCGUGAAGGAGACGCUGCCGGCGAGGCGUUCCGAAAUUCUGGGAGGACCCGGAAAGAAUCCCCAGAAUAUCACAAGCCUCAAGAAAAGGUUCCCGUUCAUGUUUGGUGCAGAGGAGCUCUGGAAGGAGAUGGAGCUGCUGCUGUCAGGACAAGUUGGCCUGAGGGAGAAGUUCAGCGAAGGUCUGAAAACGUGACUAGCGGGCAUCAUGGCCCAAACGGAAUGCAGACGCGGUAUGUGUACAUUUGCUAACUAAACCCCCGCCAGUGUAGGGGGUUGCACCCCCCCCCCGGUUUUGCGCUAAUAACUCGCGAACGAAUGACUUGUCAUUCUAAAAAAGUUUUUUUUUUUCGCGAAUGACCUUCCGUAGCAUGUCGACGCCUGUAACUUGCAAAGUUCCAUCUUUGUUUUGCUGGUGAUAUGCAUAUGGAUAGGUGUUACCAACUGACAUCCAGACAUGUUCGUGGCUUCAACGACGGCUUCCACAUAUCCUUAACAAUGACGGCACGUUUUGAAUAAAACGACCUUUCUACUUUGGCUCGCUGCUAAACCUCUUACCCUAAGUUGGAAGAGAGGGUGGAGAGAGACUCUCUCUCUCUCCCUCUCCCUCUCCCUCUCUCCUUCUCCCUCUCCCUCUCCCUCUCCCUCAUUCCCUCUCUCCCUCUCUCCCUCUCUCUCUCCCUCUCUCUCUUUCUGUCCCCUAUCUCCCUCCCCCAUCUCCCUCUCUCUCCCCUCCCUGCGCGCUCCCCUCCCUCCCCUCCCCUCCCUCCCUCUCUCCCCUCCCUGAGCCAUGCGCGCGCACGCAGGCGAUUUAAGCGUCAGGGGUUCAGAAGUGCCUCGUUCCUCGAUUGUAGUUCGUAUGUU
rnacentral:misc_RNA from 1 species